UUGGAAUGUAAACUUUCUUUUCAAUUCUAGCUUUAUAUUCUAUUAAAGGAUUAAACACAUUUUCAAUUCAAAAACACUGUUUUGAGAAGAGUUUUCAAGUUAAAAGUCUGUGUAUAGUAUCCCUGAAACUUCUUGAAGUUUCCCUUUGGGUGCGCAAUUUUGAAUCACCUGCUAAUAAAUGUGGUCGCUUACGGCCUUAGCCCCAGAAUUCACUUUUUUGAGAAAGUGCAAAGAAACGUUGAAUCUUUUUGCAUCAUCUCAUAAGAGGAGUUAAUGAUGUUUAUAAAAUAGAGAGAAUUACCCUAAGUUAUUGCCGCCUAAAAUCACUUUCUAUGCAUGCCCUGUAGGCGGGUAUUGUGUUUCAACUCAAAUAGCAUUUCACAGACCUAAGAAUCUGAGCGUAGCUUUUUGUAUACAUCUAAGCGUCAGGACAGAGAUAGUCCUUUUUGUGCCUUCCCCUUGAGCCUUUGCCCGGUUUCUCUGAAGCUGUGCUCUUUAUUUGCAGUUUUAGAGAAGGCCCUUUCAACGCAACAGGCCGGUGGAGGAGGGGGAGAGAGGACUGUCUGGGCAGUGUCCUCACUUUGUUGGCCAGGAGGAAAAGUGAGAGCGUGGAAGUGUGGUGUUGAGGCUGCCUCACCUCUCUGGGAGGCAUUUUCACUGGGAAAGAACAGCAGCAACAGGCACAGUGGGGCAAAGAACACGAAAGGGAAAAAGAUCAGCUGGCUCCUUCUAGGAGCCAGGCUGGAGAAGAGAUUGCUACACUGCGGAUGGCUCCUGCUUAUGAAGGCAGCCUGUGCCAGGGCUGAUCGCCCUAGGCCUGCUUGACAGCCCCGCCCGCUUCCUUCCUGCCUUCUCCACGUGGCCGCAGCCCUGGCUCCUGGGAGUGCACAGUUCAGCCCCGCUUGCAUCAGGGCGCUUCUUGCCCCUAUGCACAGAGCGCUCCUGUGCCCAAGUUCGCCGGCUGUCUGGCUCUUUGUAACUCUUGAUUUAGGAGUGUGUGUGUGUGUUUGUGUGUGUGUGUGUGUGUGUGUGUGUGUUGGUUUGUUUUGUUUUUUGUUGUUGUUGUUUUGAGACAGGGUCUCACUCUGGGGCCCAGGCCUGGGUGCAGUGGCUCGAUCACAGCUCACUGGAGCCUUGAACUCCUGGGCUCAAGCGUUGUUUUAGUUCUUUGCAAGGCGCUGUGGAGUCUUCCCCCAGCGUAUUUCCUAUGGGUCUUGACAGCCGCCACCAAAACCCCAGAAGAAACUACCCCAGGCGGUGCAGGGUCUGGAGUUUGGGUUUGGCUGUUUGAGUGGUGGCUUUCUCCCACUUCCUCGCGUGGGAAUGCGAUGUCCCUUGCGCCCCACUCGGUGGCACAUCCUCUCCAUUUCUCCUCGCCUGCGACUGUGACAAGCCUGCGGCCGCACAUUGUCAGCGAUUGUGGGAAAGGGCCGCGAGCCUUUCCGCCGCUCCCGGCCGCCCUAAUGAGGGAACAAUCGGGCUACGCGGCGCUGGCGGCGGGGUCAGGCGCGGCGUCCCGCACAAUGGGCGCGGCGCCCGAGCCCCUGACAGCGCCAUAAAUUGGCCGUGCAAAGCCGAGCGCUAGGUGGUCCCCCCUGGAGAAAAGAGCCGCCGCCGAGGGCGCGAAAAGGCGAGUCCGGAAGCCCGCCAGGGAGCCAGUGGCGCGUUUUCCAGAUCACCCUGUUGGAACUUAGCGUAGCAGAGGAAGAACACCAUGGAAUAAGGAGAAAGGAGAUACAAGUAGCCUCUCCAGGAAGAAUGUGACUGAAUACUUUUUAUACAAAACCACAAAAUUAGAUAAAUAUGUAUUUAAGUGUUAUUCCUGAAAGCUGGAGAAAGAAAUCUUACUUCUAAGAAUUGUUUAGCGAAGGAAUAAGAAAAUGUGAUGCUUGGAAGAAAAAACACACUGCCGAGAGGCCUUGCGCUGAGUGUGCUGAACAAUAGACAACCUCUAAGGAUGCUCGCCUGCAAUUCCGGCUCUGCCAUCAAUUCACUGUAUGCCUUUGGAUCAUCUACAAGACAUGAAUGAUGUUCAGAAUUACUUGUCAUGCCCUUUGCUUGGGGCUGAAAACAAGAUGCAGUCACACAGAUUUCAAUGGAGUGUGUACUCUAGAGGCAGACUGCCUGGGAUCAAAAUGCUUGCAGUAUAACCAUUGACAGCUUCCAUAACUUAUCUCUUCCCAGGUUAAUCAACCUGUAAAAUGGGGUAAUAUCUGCUCCUCCCUCAUAGGGUUGUGCAUAAAAAUCUCAUGAGAUUAUAGGUGUAGAGAGGUGAGAACCCACAGAAACCUUUCCAUAAAUGCUACCUAUUAUUAUUAAAUUCUAGCUUUCUUUCAGUUUUCAAAUUUAAAGUAAAGACUAAAAUCAGCUGAGAUAUACUGCAAUCUCCAGCUAAUGUUUGGAGAAGCAUUAGUAGUAUUCCCUUCAUCUUUCCUCAUCCCCUCCUUUUAAAGAACUCUAACUGGGAACAUGCAUUUAUUUCCCUCAUAUCUGUACAAGCCAUUGAUUUGCCAGGAGAGAAAUACAAAGACUUUCACAUUUUUGCUGCUCUCUCUCCUGAAUUAAUACUCCACUUCUGAAUUUAAGGCAGCAAAACUCCAUUCAGUGUUUUAAGAGUGGGUAAAAUAUAUAGAAAUGAGAAUAGCUUUGACAAGUUAACAUCCAUGUGAAUGAGACUAGAGAAAUAACAUUCUGUAUAUGAGUGCUUUUCUUCUAAAUCAUCUUACCAACUUUCAAGUGAUUAGACAAUUUUGUUUCAUUCCCUUCAAACUUACAAAUUAAUAUUUUUAAGAGAUGGAGUUAAUAACCAGUUAAAAACUAUAAAGGCUUCCUCAAUUGAAGGUCGGAGCUUUGCUAUCUAAAACUGACUUAGAGUUACAAUAAAAAUAGCAAUAUCAUGAAAUGCUAUAUUUGUAUUUCUCAGUUCAAUUGCUUUUUAUUUUCAAACAGUAUGCAACUAAGACAUGCCUGAGUGAAGUUUCCUAGGAGCCAGAUAAUUAAUCCAACAUUUAUCUGAAAUGCUGAACUAACUUGCAUAAUUCUUCAAAUGAAUAUCACACCUUCGAUGGGGACAUACAAAUUGUUUCAACCUGAGGCUUGAAAAUAUGUGUCAUAAAGCAUUCUGAUUUAUCAAGAACACGUUGUAAUUUGUUGCAUUUGGAAUGUAGCUACCUAACUUCCUGAAUAUUUUAAUAAAAUACCUGUAAAAUUACACAAUCAAAACUAUACCUCCACCAAGCAAAGUGACAGAGAUGGUACUAACAUCAACAAAAAGGUAAGAGAAUGGUAAAUUUCAAAAGGUUCUAGCUGUUUCCGUACUCUCUGUACUCUUACCGUGAAAUCAAGCGCUGAAAAAGAUUCUAGGCUUAAAAUUCAAUUAAAGCAAACACUUUUGACAAUUAUUUUACUAUUUGAUGUAAAAAAAUAGAUUUUUUUGUCUAGUGCUUUAGUUCUUUGCCUCUUUUUAAUUUUUUCUUAUGUAUGGUUUUAUUUUAAAGUUCCACUGAGGCAAUAUACAUAUGCCAGGCAGAAAAUGCAGAUAUUAAGGGAUUUUAUUCAUAACAGGCUAAAUUUGUCUCUUGUGAAAGAUAAAAACACUUUAAAGUUGAUGAGUCUAUGAUUUUAAGUAAAAUCCUCAUUCAAAUGUGAUUGCUUUAUAGGUUUAACUCUGGUCAGAGCAAUUUGUGUUCUUUCUAUAUAUUACUCCAACUAUAAUAAAGCUGUUUAUGCAAAUGUGAAAUUGUUGCUAUUGCAGAAUCUUUCCAACCAUGUAAGGUUGUAAUGUUAAAUUCCCAUUCACGAUCAAAAUUCCACAUAUUUACAACCUGCAAACAUCCCAAAUUCACACUUCAACAUCUGUGUGGCUGCCAACUUCUACUGAAAUCUGUAGCAUGCUUUUUUAGAAGUGGAGGAAAAAAGAAUAAAAAACCUGAGACUAAGAUAAGAAUCAAGAAGGAUUCAUGUGCCAAAAGCACACAUUCAAGCCUGGGAGAGGAAAUCAGAGUCCUAAGCCCCAACUUGGAAUGACUUACUAGAUGAUUGUAGUGACAGAGCCAUCUCCACACCGGGCUCUCAUCUGAGUCAGUGAUAUACUCUGUGCUAACAGAGACGAUUAUCCCAAGCAGCCAGUGAAUCAAAGCACAGUCUAAACCAAAAUCAAAGACUGUGUCUGGCAAAGCAUCACAACUUCCAGAGGAUUUGCUGAACAAAGCUACCAAAAACUUUAAAAACUGCAGUCUUAAUCUAGUCACCCCUUACACCUAAAUGAUGACAGUGUGAUAUGAAAACACCAGUUAUUAUGCUUUACAAGUCAGCAUGCUCAUCAGCAAAGGAUCUAAGUUAAAAUUAAUCCCUGUCGAUAUAGAAGACAAUAUCAAACUGGAGCCUUUUUUUAAGAAAAAAAAAAAGAAAUAUGUAGACUGAACAAACUCAAACUUCUAACCAAAAACAAAGUGAUAAACCAGUUAAUCAAGCUAUGAGGAGAACCAGUUAAAUCUGAUAUGAAACCACCAUUUUACUAGAGCAAACUGUUACUAAGCUCUGUUUACAUCAGCUCUGCCUUUUUCUCUUUCUCGGUAGUUCAGCUAUGGAUUGUCUUGUGGACUCUCACCAUCCGGAAUGAUUUGCUUUCUAUUCCAGUCUAUUCUCAGCUGUCUGGCCCUGCACAAGUGCUCGCAGAACUCACUAAUACCGACCACCUCCCUACCCCCCUCACCCCAUCUGCUUUUUACUCUGAGCAUGCAGGGCUCUAAUCAGUUCUCCAUAGCGCAGAGACUACUUCUUGUUUUUACAGACAAACAUGUUAAUUGCCAUCACACUCACAGGCAGAAUGAAGGACUGUCUUUUUACCCUCCUCAGUCCACCCGCCUGGAUGCAACACAAACUACAAUCUCCAUCUCACCCAAGGACAAGCCCCCUCUUCUCUAAACAGCACACAUUCUUUCAAACAAAAAAUCCCCACAGCUUAAACAUGCACAUACACAAUUAACAUACAUACAUAGGAAGCGCAUCAUUGCAAUGAUGGAUAUAACUUAUUACAUUGACCUUACUAGCUAAAGAGUAAGUGGUAAAAGGGAUUCAAAAAUAUGAGUUAGAGCAUCAGGGUAAGUCCAGCACUUCAGAUGGGGGUCAGCAUUCCUGAACUCUGUUUUCUCAUCUGAUCCUAUAACCAACCUUUUUCUCUGCCACUGACUGUUGGGAAGCAGUGCAUUUUAAACAAAAAAGGCCUCCCUUUGAUACCUCUUUAAAUGUCAAGAGUAAGCCCUUAUAAGAACCCAGUAGUCGGUACCCAGAGUUGGUGCCCAAACAUGAAAGAGAUUAGAAGAAGGUCUUGGUGUGGAAAAAGCCGUGGACCCCUUUCACUUCCAGGUGACACACUGUCAUCACCCACAUUACAGGAAAGGUGAGGCUGCUAAACGAUUACUGGGUGGCGGAGGACUCCAGAUUAGCUUAAAUAAAUGGCAUUAUUUUUAUAAAUAUUUUCAAGGAAGUAUAAUAUUUGUCUAUAAAAAGAUGGUUGAGAGCUGCAUUUCACCUUUCAUGUUUGUAUCUUGAAGUUUCAAGUUCAUUUCCGUACUCUGGGGUAGCUGCCCAAGGGAAAUCUGCUCUUCAGGUUUACUCUCCUAACAUCGCCCACAAAUCACUCAUGCAACCAAAACCUGCCAAUGAAAAGCGCGUAAGGUCUCCUUCAUCUAAGAAACCAGCAGUUUCCAAAACAAGCUCUUGUACAUUAUCCACCAGUGGCCAAGGUCUGGUGAAACACAAACUCUCUCCCAUAUUGAAGCAGAGAAUAUAAAUGAGGGCAAACUUUCUGGAGAGCAGAUUGACCACAUAGAUCAAGAUUCUUACAAAUGUUCUUAUCCUUUGACCUAAUAAUUACAGUUCUUGGAAUUUAUCCCAAGGAAAUUAUCAGAGAAGCAAACAAAGAAUUAUGUACAAGGAUGUUCAUUGCAAUGCUAUUUAUAAUAGCAAAAAAUUGCCACUGCCUAAUUAAGCAACAAUAGGAAUUUAGUUAAGUAAAUUAUAGUAAAUCCAUAGAACAGAAUGCUAUUCAGGCAUUAAAAACCAUGUGUUCAAAGAAUGCAAAAUGGCUCAGGGAAAUGCUGACAAGAUAAUGUUAAGUUAAAAAAGUAGGCUACAGUAUGUUAAAUGCAACGUGACCCCAGUUUUAUAAAUAUUACAUAUGCAUAUGACAUGUAAUAUGUGUAUAUAAAAUUUGGAAGAAAGAAAAACUACAUUGAAGUUUACUAAGUGCCAAGGAAUGCAAUAAAACCUUUACAUAAUUAUUUUAUUCACUCAUCAAAAUAAUUCACAGAAUGAACUAUUUUGAUCUCUAUUUUGACAGUGAGAAAACGAGAGCAAAGAGAGAUUAAGUUGUCAAAGAUCACUCAGGUAAUACAUUGGGUAGCUAGUGUUUGAUCCUAGAUGAUCUAUGUCCUACAUAACACUAUCCAUUGUGUUGUUCUAUGGGUUAUUUUCUCCCUUGCGUUAUUUGUGUAUUUUUCCAAUUUUUUUCAAUAAACAUAUUACUUUUAUAACCAGUUUUUAAAAGGUUCUUAAUAGUGUGCAAAGUGAGAGUGAUUAGCAUAAGUACUGAAAUUAAAUUCAUAUUCUUACUGAAAUGAACAGGGUAUUUUUGAUUUGUUAAAAGCAGAAUACAGUUUUGUUUUUUUUUAACUCUAUUCAUUAAUUAUUUAGAUUCUGAAAAUGUACCACUUGCUUUGCCUUUUAUAAGUUUUGGCACUUUUAUGCUUAAUAUGGCAUUUUGUGAAGCAGAAGGGGAGAACUGAAGUGGGGAUUUCUUAAAAGAUAAGUAAAAAUACAGACAGGGAUUUUCUAGGUGUCUUCAAUCUUCCUAAUAGAAGGUAAGGUAAACUUCUAGGAGUGAGUCGAGCAGGGGUGGAAAUUAAAAUUACGGAG
rnacentral:lncRNA from 1 species